GGUCAAGCUACUAAGGGCGUACGGUGGAUGCCUUGGCGCAGGACGGCGAUGAAGGACGUGGCAAGCUGCGAUAAGCCUCGGAUAGCCGCAAACAGGCUCCGACCCGAGGAUUUCCGAAUGGGGCAACCCGUCUAGGGUAAUCCUAGAUCACGCAAGGUGAAUACAUAGCCUUGCGUAGCCAACCCGGGGAAGUGAACCAUCUCAGUACCCGGAGGAAAAGAAAGCAAAUGCGACUCCCCUAGUAGCGGCGAGCGAACGGGGAUGAGCCCAAACCUCUUUUAUGUCAAGUCUGUCGACGUUGUAGAAGAGGGGUUGUAGGGCCGGACGUGACACUGGACAGCAGUGUCGGGAAGUUACAAAUCGAUCUCUUAGCCGAACAGUCUGGGACGGCUGGCGAUACAGGGUGAAAGCCCCGUAGGCGAAAAGAGUGAGACUUCCUUGUUCGGUUCCUGAGUACCGCGGGGCACGUGAAACCCUGCGGGAAUCUGGGAGGACCAUCUCCCAAGGCUAAGUACGUGCCUGCGACCGAUAGUGAACCAGUACCGUGAGGGAAAGGUGAAAAGAACCCCUAUAGGGGAGUGAAAUAGUACCUGAAACCGUGCGCUUACAAGCAGUUGGAGGGCGUUUCACCGGGGCAACCCGGUAAGCCUGACAGCGUGCCUUUUGCAUAAUGAGCCGGCUAGUUUUUCUCAGCGGCAAGGUUAAGCGUUAAGCGAGCCGUAGCGAAAGCAAGUCUGAAUAGGGCGAAUUAGUCGCUGGGAAAAGACGCGAAGCGAGGUGAUCUACCCAUGGCCAGGGUGAAAGUCGGGUAACACCGACCGGAGGCCCGAACCAGUGUUGGUUGAAAACAGCUUGGAUGAGCUGUGGGUAGGGGUGAAAGGCUAAUCAAACCUCGUGAUUGCCCGUUCUCUUCGAAAUAGCUUUAGGGCUAGCGUCGUGUAUAACUUCCGGGGGUAAAGUACUGAAUGGACUAGGGCCUUUACCGAGGUACCGAAUCCAAUCCAACUCUGAAUACCGGAAAGUUCAAUCACGGCAGUCAGACAGUGGGGGCUAAGCUCCAUUGUCAAAAGGGAAACAGCCCAGACCGUCAGCUAAGGUCCCAAAGUGCCGUCUUAGUGGUAAAGGAUGUGGAUCCGCACAGACAACCAGGAGGUUGGCUUAGAAGCAGCCAUCCUUUAAAGAAAGCGUAAUAGCUCACUGGUCAAGUGG
rnacentral:rRNA from 1 species